rnacentral:rRNA from 1 species
UAGGUGGUCAACAGAGGGAAGCAAGACCGCGAGGUGGAGCAAAUCCCUAAAAGCCAUCCCAGUUCGGAUUGCAGGCUGCAACCCGCCUGUAUGAAGUUGGAAUCGCUAGUAAUCGCGGAUCAGCAUGCCGCGGUGAAUACGUUCCCGGGCCUUGUACACACCGCCCGUCACACCAUGAGAGUCGGGAACACCCGAAGUCCGUAGUCUAACCGCAAGGGGGACGCGGCCGAAGGUGGGUUCGAUAAUUGGGGUGAAGUCGUAACAAGGUAAC